rnacentral:rRNA from 1 species
CUUUAAGGAAACUGCCAGUGAUAAACUGGAGGAAGGUGGGGAUGAUGUCAAGUCAGCACGGCCCUUAUGGGGUGGGCUACACACGUGCUACAAUGGCGACUACAAUAGGUUGCAACGUCGCAAGGCUGAGCUAAUCCGUAAAAGUCGUCUCAGUUCGGAUUGUCCUCUGUAACUCGAGGGCAUGAAGUCGGAAUCGCUAGUAAUCGUGGAUCAGCAUGCCACGGUGAAUACGUUCUCGGGUCUUGUACACACUGCCCGUCACGCCAUGGGAAUUGGCUUAACUCGAA